rnacentral:rRNA from 2 species
UCGAACGCGAAAGCGGGGCAACCCGCAAGUAGAGUGGCGAACGGGUGAGUAAUACAUCGGAACAUAUCCAGUAGCGGGGGAUAACCUGUCGAAAGAUAGGCUAAUACCGCAUACGAUCUACGGAUGAAAGCGGGGGACCGCAAGGCCUCGCACUAUUGGAGUGGCCGAUGUCGGAUUAGCUAGUUGGUGGGGUAAAGGCUUACCAAGGCGACGAUCCGUAGCUGGUCUGAGAGGACGAUCAGCCACACUGGAACUGAGACACGGUCCAGACUCC